GGGGGCGUCACGGUUUCGACGGGGAUAGUUGAAGCUGUAGCAGCGUACCGAGGUUCCUACAGGCCUCGUUAAACAGGUAGGAAACACAUAAUCGCAGAAAACUACGAUUACGCCUUAGCCGCUUAAGCGGCUAACGUUCUGCCGGUUCUGCCUGCCGGGCCGAACAGAGCGUCGAUCAGACAGGAUAGCCGAUCUCUCUUGCCCGGCGGGAGAAAGGCGAAUUCAAAACGGGAUAGUUCCUGAUCAAUCCUGCCUUUGGGAGUUUUCAGAAGCGAAUGCAAAUCAAAGGAUACGUACGUAGAAACUGCAGUGGAAUAUUUUCGGACGCGGGUUCGACUCCCGCCGCCUCCACCA
rnacentral:sRNA from 1 species